GGGGUAGAGUUAGCUUGCUAACUUGAGACCGGCGCACGGGUGCGUAACGCGUAUGCAACCUACCUUUAUCUGGGGGAUAGCCCGGAGAAAUCCGGAUUAAUACCGCAUAAAAUCACAGAAUGGCAUUAUUCAAUGAUCAAACAUUAAUGGGAUAGAGAUGGGCAUGCGUGUCAUUAGCUAGUUGGCGGGGUAACGGCCCACCAAGGCGACGAUGACUAGGGGAUCUGAGAGGAUGACCCCCCACACUGGUACUGAGACACGGACCAGACUCCUACGGGAGGCAGCAGUAAGGAAUAUUGGUCAAUGGAGGCAACUCUGAACCAGCCAUGCCGCGUGCAGGAAGACUGCCCUAUGGGUUGUAAACUGCUUUUAUCCGGGAAUAAACCACGAUACGUGUAUCGUGCUGAAUGUACCGGAAGAAUAAGGAUCGGCUAACUCCGUGCCAGCAGCCGCGGUAAUACGGAGGAUCCAAGCGUUAUCCGGAUUUAUUGGGUUUAAAGGGUGCGUAGGCGGCCUGUUAAGUCAGGGGUGAAAGACGGUAGCUCAACUAUCGCAGUGCCCUUGAUACUGAUGGGCUUGAAUGAACUAGAGGUAGGCGGAAUGAGACAAGUAGCGGUGAAAUGCAUAGAUAUGUCUCAGAACACCGAUUGCGAAGGCAGCUUACUAUGGUUUAAUUGACGCUGAGGCACGAAAGCGUGGGGAUCAAACAGGAUUAGAUACCCUGGUAGUCCACGCCCUAAACGAUGAACACUCGCUGUUGGCGAUACACAGUCAGCGGCUAAGCGAAAGCGUUAAGUGUUCCACCUGGGGAGUACGGUCGCAAGAUUGAAACUCAAAGGAAUUGACGGGGGCCCGCACAAGCGGAGGAGCAUGUGGUUUAAUUCGAUGAUACGCGAGGAACCUUACCCGGGCUUGAAAGUUAGUGAAUCAUUUAGAGAUAAAUGAGUGAGCAAUCACACGAAACUAGGUGCUGCAUGGCUGUCGUCAGCUCGUGCCGUGAGGUGUUGGGUUAAGUCCCGCAACGAGCGCAACCCCUAUGUUUAGUUGCCAGCACGUUAAGGUGGGGACUCUAAACAGACUGCCUGUGCAAACAGAGAGGAAGGAGGGGACGACGUCAAGUCAUCAUGGCCCUUACGUCCGGGGCUACACACGUGCUACAAUGGAUGGUACAGAGGGCAGCUACAUAGCAAUAUGAUGCGAAUCUCACAAAGCCAUUCACAGUUCGGAUUGGGGUCUGCAACUCGACCCCAUGAAGUUGGAUUCGCUAGUAAUCGCGUAUCAGCAAUGACGCGGUGAAUACGUUCCCGGGCCUUGUACACACCGCCCGUCAAGCCAUGGAAGUUGGGGGUACCUAAAGUAUGUAACC
rnacentral:rRNA from 1 species